UACGUAGGGUCCGAGCGUUAAUCGGAAUUACUGGGCGUAAAGCGUGCGUAGGCGGUUCGUUAAGUCUGCUGUGAAAGCCCCGGGCUCAACCUGGGAAUGGCAGUGGAUACUGGCGAGCUAGAGUGUGAUAGAGGAUGGUGGAAUUCCCGGUGUAGCGGUGAAAUGCGUAGAGAUCGGGAGGAACAUCAGUGGCGAAGGCGGCCAUCUGGAUCAACACUGACGCUGAGGCACGAAAGCGUGGG
rnacentral:rRNA from 1 species